AAUAUUGGACAAUGGGGGGAACCCUGAUCCAGCCAUGCCGCGUGUGUGAAGAAGGUCUUCGGAUUNUCAAGCCCUUUAAGUUGGGANGAAGAGUUGUAGGCUAAUACCUUGCAAUUUUGACGUUACCAACAGAAUAAGCACCGGCUAACUUCGUGCCAGCAGCCGCGGUAAUACGAAGGGUGCAAGAGUUAAUCGGAAUUACUGGGCGUAAAGCGCGCGUAGAUGGUUCGUUAAGUUGGAAGUGAAAGCCCCGGGAUUAACCUGGGAAUUGCUUUCAAAACUGACGAGCUAGAGUACGGUAGAGGGUAGUGGAAUUUCCUGUGUAGCGGUGAAAUGCGUAGAUAUAGGAAGGAACAUCAGUGGCGAAGGCGACUACCUGGACUGAUACUGACACUGAGGUGCGGAAGCGUGGGGAGCAAACAGG
rnacentral:rRNA from 1 species